rnacentral:rRNA from 1 species
AGUGAACGCUGGCGGUAGGCCUAACACAUGCAAGUCGAACGGCAGCACAGUAAGAGCUUGCUCUUACGGGUGGCGAGUGGCGGACGGGUGAGGAAUACAUCGGAAUCUACUUUUUCGUGGGGGAUAACGUAGGGAAACUUACGCUAAUACCGCAUACGACCUACGGGUGAAAGCAGGGGAUCUUCGGACCUUGCGCGAUUGAAUGAGCCGAUGUCGGAUCAGCUAGUUGGCGGGGUAAAGGCCCACCAAGGCGACGAUCCGUAGCUGGUCUGAGAGGAUGAUCAGCCACACUGGAACUGAGACACGGUCCAGACUCCUACGGGAGGCAGCAGUGGGGAAUAUUGGACAAUGGGCGCAAGCCUGAUCCAGCCAUACCGCGUGUGUGACGAAGGCCUUCGGGUUGUAAAGCCCUUUUGUUGGGAAAGAAAAGCAGCAGGUUAAUACCCCGCUGUUCUGACGGUACCCAAAGAAUAAGCACCGGCUAACUUCGUG